UGGGGAAUUUUGGACAAUGGGCGCAAGCCUGAUCCAGCCAUGCCGCGUGCGGGAAGAAGGCCUUCGGGUUGUAAACCGCUUUUGUCAGGGAAGAAACGCUCUGGGCUAAUACCCUGGGGUAAUGACGGUACCUGAAGAAUAAGCACCGGCUAACUACGUGCCAGCAGCCGCGGUAAUACGUAGGGUGCAAGCGUUAAUCGGAAUUACUGGGCGUAAAGCGUGCGCAGGCGGUUAUGCAAGACAGAUGUGAAAUCCCCGGGCUCAACCUGGGAACUGCAUUUGUGACUGUAUAGCUAGAGUGCAGAAGGGGCAAUCGGAAUUCUUGGUGUAGCGGUGAAAUGCGUAGAUAUCAAGAGGAACACCUGAGGUGAAGACGGGUUGCUGGGCUGACACUGACGCUGAGGCGCGAAAGCC
rnacentral:rRNA from 1 species